GGGAACUGUACGCAGUCUGACCAGCCAUGCCGCGUGGAGGAUGAAGGUCCUCUGGAUUGUAAACUUCUUUUAUCGGAGAAGAAACCCAGACAUUCCUGUUUGGUUGACGGUACCCGAUGAAUAAGCACCGGCUAACUCCGUGCCAGCAGCCGCGGUAAUACGGAGGGUGCAAGCGUUAUCCGGAUUCACUGGGUUUAAAGGGUGCGUAGGUGGGUUGGUAAGUCAGUGGUGAAAUCUCCGGGCUUAACUCGGAAACUGCCGUUGAUACUAUCAAUCUUGAAUAUUGUGGAGGUAAGCGGAAUAUGUCAUGUAGCGGUGAAAUGCUUAGAUAUGACAUAGAACACCGAUAGCGAAGGCAGCUUGCUACACAAUAAUUGACACUGAGGCACGAAAGCGUGGGGAUCAAACAGGAUUAGAUACCCUGGUAGUCCACGCCCUAAACGAUGGAUACUCGACAUACGCGAUACACAGUGUGUGUCUGAGCGAAAGCAUUAAGUAUCCCACCUGGGAAGUACGACCGCAAGGUUGAAACUCAAG
rnacentral:rRNA from 1 species